rnacentral:rRNA from 1 species
ACUCAAAUGAAUUGACGGGGGUCCGCACAAGCGGUGGAGUAUGUGGUUUAAUUCGUCGGUACGCGAGGAACCUUACCUAGGCUAGAAUAUAUCGUGCAAUUUUCAGAGAUGAGAAGUUCCUUCGGGACGCGAUAUAAGGUGCUGCAUGGCCGUCGUCAGCUCGUGCCGUGAGGUGUAUGGUUAAGUCCUAUAACGAGCGCAACCCCUAUACUUAGUUGCCAGCAUAUCAAGAUGGGGACUCUAAGUAGACUGCCUGCGCAAGCAGUGAGGAAGGAGGGGACGAGGUCAGGUCAUCAUGGCCCUUACGCCUAGGGCGACACACGUACUACAAUGGCGUGUAUAGCAAGAAGCAAACUGGUAACAGAGAGCGAAUCAUAAAAGCACGUCACAGUUCGGAUUGAGGUCUGCAACUCGACCUCAUGAAGCUGGAAUCGCUAGUAAUCGCGCAUCAGCCAAGGCGCGGUGAAUACGUUCCCGGACCUUGUACACACCGCCCGU